AUUGAACGCUGGCGGCAGGCCUAACACAUGCAAGUCGAGCGGAGCGGCGGACGGGGGAGUAAUGCCUAGGUAUCUGCCUGGUAGUGGGGGAUAACGUACGGAAACGGGCGCCAAUACCGCAUACUAUCAGAUGAGCCUAGGGUGGAUUAGCUAGUGGGUGGGGUAAUGGCCUACCAAGGCGACGAUCCGUAACUGGACUGAGAGGAUGAUCAGUCACACUGGGACUGAGACACGGCCCAGACUCCGACGGGAGGCAGCAGUGGGGAAUAUUGGACAAUGGGCGAAAGCCUGAUCCAGCCAUGCCGCGUGUGUGAAGAAGGUCUUCGGAUUGUAAAGCACUUUAAGUAGGGAGGCGUUACCUACAGAAUAAGCACCGGCUAACUUCGUGCCAGCAGCCGCGGUAAUUC
rnacentral:rRNA from 1 species